rnacentral:rRNA from 1 species
AAUAUUUGACAAUGGGGGCAACGCUGAUCCAGCCAUUCCGCGUGUGUGAAGAAGGUCUUCGGAUUGUAAAGCACUUUAAGUUGGGAGGAAGGGCCUUAGGUUAAUACCCUGAAGUUUUGACGUUACCACCAGAAUAAGCACCGGCUAACUCUGCGCCAGCAGCCGCGGUAAGACAGAGGGUGCAAGCCUUAAUCGGAAUUACUGGGCGUAAAGCGCGCGUAGGUGGUUCAGUAAGAUGGGUGUGAAAUCCCCGGGCUUAACCUGGGAACUGCUUUCAUAACUGGUGAUCUAGAGUACGGUAGAGGGUAGUGGAAUUACCUGUGUAGCGGUGAAAUGCGUAGAUAUAGGAAGGAACACCAGUGGCGAAGGCGACUACCUGGACUGAUACUGACACUGAGGUGAGAAAGCGUGGGGAGCAAAC